rnacentral:snoRNA from 1 species
ACCCUCCGGAUUCCUUGUCCCUCAGAUCUAAACACGGGUCUAAGUGGCUGAAAAAGAAGGAAAAGUAAAACUGAAGUGGACUUGGAGUCUUUAAUAACUUACAAUUCAUUUCAAACAUAU